ensembl:lncRNA
GAAUAUCAUUAAAAAAAAUCCUGACUUCGGAAAUGGUUGGGGGGUGGGGAGGUUAAAACGCCUGGUUGAGUGGAUCAGACAAGAGUCAGUGCUGGUUUCGCCAAAAAGCUUUUGCUAAAAGUCGGAGCAGUUCCCACUUUGUCGGGACAAUCUGCUGUAUCUGCAUCACAGCCUGUAAGUGUGCUGCUUUAUUUGUUAUUGUGUGUGUUAUUUACGUUUCAAAGUAGAAGUUGAAUGCCAUUUCUGCGAUAUAAUACAUAUUACCGUUGCACUUUUCUGUACAUAGGAAAUGCAGUUGUUCUUAAGUGGUUGUUGACAUCCUAUCUAAAACAUGAUUUAGCCAAAAAAACAACAACAAUAACUUUACCACUCUAAUAUGUCUUGCAAUUUCCGUGCGUGCAAAGGUUCUGUGCGAUCCUCUUGUUUAAUAUUCUCAGGGUCUGAAUCUGGCUCAAAUUGAUAUGGCAAUAUUGAUGCCAUCCUUAUCUAUACCGGAGCAGAGGGAACUUGCUGCUUUGGCAAGGGGUGGGGCAGUGCUGAAACACCAUCUGAGCUGUUCGCCAAUCACAGCGCACUGGGACAGCUAACCAAUCACAACAGAUUUCGUUUUUUCGGAAGGCGGGCUUUCAUCAAACCCAGAACUAAUCGAGCCGUUUGUGCCAGGCUGGGGAGAAAGUUCCAAACAAAGCCACAGCAGAAUGACCCAUUACGUAUCUCCAAGCAACACACAGUAGGGCUGUUUUGUUAUUGAAUUAAUCAGUGGCUGAAUUUGGAAUGGCAUAAAAGAAACUAGACCUGGAGGGGCUAGAAACUAGCUUGAAGUGCUAAUUAAGCAUCUUAACAUUGGUACAGUUUUCUUGUAUUGCUGUAGGCCUCAUAAGACUAGGUGCUCAAAACCUGCCCUGCUGUACAAUUGCUCCUAUGAAGAGCUGCUGUCAAAACUUUAAUUUCUCAGCACUUAUUGCCUCAGGGCCUGUGAGCUCAUUUCUUCACCCAUGUUCAGACUGAUCCAGUGUCAGCUGCCGGUCCCAUCAAGGCUCAUAGCUCAACUGCAGCCCUUUCAGACCUCUAGGUGAGGUUGGGUGGAGAUGGUAGGAAAUUUGUUUGAACAUGUAUUCAUUUAUA